rnacentral:tRNA from 1 species
GGCCCGUUAGCUCAGUUGGUUAGAGCGUCGGCUAAUAACCGAAGGUCGGGGUUCGACCCCCACGGGCCG